rnacentral:misc_RNA from 1 species
AUCUUUUUUUUUUUAAUUUUAAAAUAUAAAUAUAAUAAUUUUUUAGGUUUGGGGUUUUAAACCUGUACUAAUAUCAUCAACUCGAUUAAUUAUCGGGUUGACGAUUCUAGUACAAUAAUGAUCCUUCCGCAGGUUCACCUACGGAAA